GGAAGCUAGGGGUGCCUGGAAGGUUAGGAGGAGACACAGCAGAGACAGGUAAUCUCAAGCGAUCGAAUGGAUAUUCCAGACCAUGUGGCAUCACGCUCAGAUUAUAAGAUUUUGCAGAUCACAAACUGAGGAAGAAAGUUUUCAAUGUGUACAGAAGGAAGGUACUGUUCUGGAUUAUGACUCAGACAGGCGGAAUAACGGUGGAAGACAACUCAUAGGCUGAGAUAAGCAGUUUACUCAAGCAAAAGCUAAAGGCUGCCUUUUCACAAACAACGAGGAAAAAUAAAAUUCUCUGCUUUCCAUUGACAAGUGCUGUUUGGCCACUUCCAGGAAACAGGACUUCAGGCUGUGUAGUGGUUGCUCUGGAAUAUCAAAAUUGCAAAUAACAAAUACACCUUGCUUCCUCCUUUUCUUACCAAUUAUAGCUGAGCUGGUGUCAUGUGGUUUGGAAUAUCCCUUUGGUUAACUUGGUCAGCUUGCCUGGCUU